CGGGACGGGUGAGUAAUGUCUGGGAAACUGCCUGAUGGAGGGGGAUAAAUACUGGAAACGGUAGCUAAUACCGCAUAACGUCGCAAGACCAAAGAGGGGGACCUUCGGGCCUCUUGCCAUCGGAUGUGCCCAGAUGGGAUUAGCUAGUAGGUGGGGUAACGGCUCACCUAGGCGACGAUCCCUAGCUGGUCUGAGAGGAUGACCAGCCACACUGGAACUGAGACACGGUCCAG
rnacentral:rRNA from 1 species